UACGAAGGGGGCAAGCGUUGUCCGGAAUCACUGGGCGUAAAGGGCGCGUAGGUGGCGGGCCAAGUCUGUGGUGAAAGCUCGAUGCUCAACAUCGAGUCGGCCACGGAUACUGGUUCGCUGGAGCACUGUAGAGGCAGAUGGAAUUCCGGGUGUAGCGGUGGAAUGCGUAGAGAUCCGGAAGAACACCGGUGGCGAAGGCGGUCUGCUGGGCAGUUGCUGACACUGAGGCGCGACAGCGUGGGGAGCAAACAGGG
rnacentral:rRNA from 1 species